rnacentral:rRNA from 1 species
AUUGAACGCUGGCGGCAGGCCUAACACAUGCCAGUCGAGCGGAUGAAGGGAGCUUGCUCCUGGAUUCAGCGGCGGACGGGUGAGUAAUGCCUAGGAAUCUGCCUGGUAGUGGGGGAUAACGUCCGGAAACGGGCGCUAAUACCGCAUACGUCCUGAGGGAGAAAGUGGGGGAGCUUCGGACCUCACGCUAUCAGAUGAGCCUAGGUCGGAUUAGCUAGUUGGUGGGGUAAAGGCCUACCAAGGCGACGAUCCGUAACUGGUCUGAGAGGACGAUCAGUCACACUGGAACUGAGACACGGUCCAGACUCCUACGGGCGGCAGCAGUGGGGAAUAUUGGACAAUGGGCGAAAGCCUGAUCCAGCCAUGCCGCGUGUGUGAAGAAGGUCUUCGGAUUGUAAAGCACUUUAAGUUGGGAGGAAGGGCAGUAAGUUAAUACCUUGCUGUUUUGACGUUACCAACAGAAUAAGCACCGGCUAACUUCGUG